GUGUUUUAUAGGAUUAAGAUUAGUAUAUUAACACAAUGUUGAAUGCUGUACCCCAAUUUGUGAAAUUUUUACCUAUUAUUUCUGGGUUGUUUUUUUUUUUGUUCAGUCACACAUCGUUGUCAAUAUAAUAGAAUGGAGUGGAAAGUGUUGCAACUUUCACACAAGUCAGAGGUUUAGCCAGCUUUAUAACCAGUUUCUACUUUAGAAAAUGCCUGUAUAAAGUCAGGAAUAUGACAGAUUUUAUCCAUUGGUUUGAUGUGUUUUAGCUUUAAUUUGCUUUUGCCAUUUGAUUAGGG
rnacentral:lncRNA from 1 species